GACGGCGUCACCCUGCUUCUGAGAUGAAGGGAGCAGGUCACAGUACCAGCACACGCCUAGUGCAAGGCCAAGUGAUGAGCCGCGGCCUCAGAUCCUGCUGCUUCCAGGGGCCGUCACUGUAGCUGACCCAUCAACCUGUUUGUUCCAAGAAACCAGUGGGAAGCUGAAAAAACAGAUUCCUUAGGCUGAUUUGCACAUUAAACCAUCUGCUAGUGGAACACCUACCCCAGUUUUUCAGCAAUGAAACUGCAAGCCUGUGGAGUAGCCAGAACAUUUGUUCUCUGCUUGGUGUGAAUGUGAAUGAAGCAGAGUAGGACAAUGUUGCAGGAAGCUUUGGUCUACUCCAUUGCCCGGCUGGGUAGAGGGUGGAUAUAGGAAUGAAACAAGUCUUCACAUACUUUCGUCCUUGAUGAUAGUCCGACAAAGGCCCCACCCAGAAUGGAGAGGGGACUCUGUAAUAUGAUCAAGGGGUACCAACAGGCCCCUCAGACCUAAUGUAUCUUCUGUGCCAGUUUACCUAAGUGCUCGAAGUUUCCACCAAGAGGUGUCAGAGCCAAUUUGGGGUCCAGCCAUUCUGCUACCUGUUUAAACUCCCUUAUUCAAAAGUCAUAUGGGAUGGUCAAAGGGGGCUAGUUUGUUUUCCAGGCCAGCUAUCUAGUAGUCUAGAGGAGCCCUACUGGAAUGGGGUAAGCGGUGAAUUAAGUGUGAAUGGGCCUGGAUGGAACCAUAGUCUUGAGAGCUCUAGGAGGCCAACAGCAGAUGGAGGACCCUAGGACUUUGAGGGGAAGCAGAAGCAAGCAUUUAUUUGGAAGGCAGAAGUCUAAGAUGAACCACAAUGACCUUUAUUCUUGUAUUAUCUCUUCAUGUUGAGUGUGAGCAGAAUCUGAAUAAGCUAUCACUCCUGUGAUUAUAUUACAUUGUACAAUAAAAGAAAUUUUGCAGAUAUAAUUAAGAUUCCAAAUCAGUUGACCUGAAGAGGGAGCUCAUCCAUGUGAACCUGAUCACAGGAGCCCUUUCCAUCUGGAUCCAAGGUCAGAAGCAGUGGAGUCAGAGAUUUAAAACAUGAGAAGGUUUAAUGUGCCGUAACUGGCUUGAUAAUGUGACUGGGGGCCCACGUGACAGGGAAUGCAGACAGCUCCUGUGAGCCCCACUGACAGCUGGCAAGAAAACAGGAACCUCAGUCUUUCAAACACAGGAUCUGAAUCCUGUCAGUACCAAGAAUAAGACUGAACCUGGAUUUUCCCCUAGAAACUUCAGACAAAGACUCAGCCUGGUUGACGCAUUGAUUGCAGCCUUGGGAGUCCCUGAGCAGAGAACUCAGCUAUCCCAUACUUGACCUCUGACCCAGAGAACUGCAAGUUAAUUAAUGAGUGUUGUUUUAAGCCAGUAAAUUUGUGGUAGUUUGUUAUGUAGCAAUAGAAAAUGAAUAUAUUUUGCUAAUGUCCUUAUUUUUCUGGAUAUGCACAUUGCUAUUAUUUUCCUCCUUUUUAAGACAGUGCAGUCUGUGAGUAACAUUUAGAUAAAAUCCUUACAGUUUGUGAAUGGGGAAACUGAGGGUUGUGGGGAUGCUUUUUUUCCUGUCUCCUUUCUUCACAGCAGCUAUGUACAGGCCAUGACAUAAAAUAUGAGUUAGUUUUUUGUUGUUGUUUUUUUUUUUUUUCAUUUGGUUUUGCAUGCCAUAGGGAUCCCUAUACUCCUGUGUAUUACAACAGAAGCCAAAUAUAGGCACUAAAUAGCACUUUUUGAAGCCCCUCUUAUUGCCCUUUUUUCAAUGUUUGGCUCUGUUUCCAAACAUCACAGUGCUCAUUUCAGCUCCGUUGCCCUGGAUUUGAAGCCAUCCAUAUUCACCUGAGAAAGAGCCCCACCCCAUUAGGACCACAUUGCCACUGUGUUGGAGCACAGUCCCCAACCUACACAGGUGUGAGUUGUGCCUUCUAUCCUAUUUAUGGCCACAUAAGAGUCUGGCAUUUUCCAACCAAUCUGUCCCCUUGAGGCCUCUUACCAGCCUCUUGAACCUGCACAUUCUACACAAUCUCCUAAGUAGCAACAGAGUAACAGAGGUUCCAUUUUCUCCUUAGCCACUGACUAGUGAGAGAGGCAAUGGGCCUGGUAGCAUAAGGAUAUUAUCGAAUCAAUGCUUUUGCUCAGGUUGUGCAACCCAAGCCCUGAGGCCCAGGGAUUAAGCACCUGUUCAAGAUCAUCCCAUAGACUCAUCUCCUGAAUUCUAUGGCAACCCCUGGAUGAGUAUUCAGUCCAUGUUAAUUAAUGACGAUGACUGAUCUGGGAUUUUUAACUUCCCCAAACUGUGUAUUCCAGUGUGAGUAAACUGUAAAAUCCAUAUAUUGAGACUGACACACAUGUCCAGUCAAUAAAGCUAUUAAGGUCAAUGAAGAAAAUGGAAUUGUAGAAGUUGGUUGAUUCAACAGCUGCUCUGGAUCAUGGCUCAGCCUUGGGGCUCUCACACUCAUACUUCACUCUUUUAGGAGAAGCAACAAUGGAUUGGAGUAACUGCUCUACUGUGUUGGCAACACUGUC